rnacentral:lncRNA from 1 species
GAGAGACGAUUUUGUGUACGAAAGGAGUGUACGUAGGAGAUUUAGGAUUAUGUCACCGUAUUGUUGAGCCUGCAGUUAAGAUGUUGUAAACUUGUAUUACUGUUACAUGUACUUUGGAUUUUUAAUAAUACAGUAUUGAACUUUUAAUCGACUUUGUGUUUAUGUUAACUUGCAAGACUUCGUUCAGACUACACCAGGAUCCAUUUAUUUAUUUAUGUGACCAGGAUUCCCUUAAUCACGCUACCAGAGAUUUUUAGGGUUACCCUGUUAAAGAGUAUACUUGGCAUUUGUCGUCCGUGGACGUGUGAAACGUAGACACCAAAC